AUGCACGCUGGCGGCGUGCCUAAUCCAUGCCAGUCGAGCGAACGGACGAGAAGCUUGCUUCUCUGAUGUUAGCGGCGGACGGGUGAGUAACACGUGGAUAACCUACCUAUAAGACUGGGAUAACUUCGGGAAACCGGAGCUAAUACCGGAUAAUAUUUUGAACCGCAUGGUUCAAAAGUGAAAGACGGUCUUGCUGUCACUUAUAGAUGGAUCCGCGCUGCAUUAGCUAGUUGGUAAGGUAACGGCUUACCAAGGCAACGAUGCAUAGCCGACCUGAGAGGGUGAUCGGCCACACUGGAACUGAGACACGGUCCAGACUCCUACGGGAGGCAGCAGUAGGGAAUCUUCCGCAAUGGGCGAAAGCCUGACGGAGCAACGCCGCGUGAGUGAUGAAGGUCUUCGGAUCGUAAAACUCUGUUAUUAGGGAAGAACAUAUGUGUAAGUAACUGUGCACAUCUUGACGGUACCUAAUCAGAAAGCCACGGCUAACUACGUG
rnacentral:rRNA from 1 species